rnacentral:rRNA from 1 species
GCCUACAUGAAGUUGGAAUUGCUAGUAAUCGCAGAUCAGAAUGCUGCGGUGAAUACGUUCCCGGGCCUUGUACACACCGCCCGUCACACCAUGGGAGCCGGUAAUACCCGAAGUCAGUAGUCUAACCGCAAGGGGGACGCUGCCGAAGGUAGGAUUGGCGACUGGGGUGAAGUCGUAACAAGGUACC